AGCUGGAUGGCUCAAUUGGUUAGAGCAUGAUGCUGAUAACACCAAGGUCGCAGGUUUGAUCCAGCGAAAUAUUCCUGCAUUGCAGGGA